AGGUAUCUAUGCCAUCCCAAGAGUCGUAAACCAUUGUGAUAUCAGAGGUAACUCAACCAAUCACUAGUCUUACUCUGCAGAUAAUUUGCAUACAGCAGUUGUAUUGGUUCUGUGAGGCACGCUGCGCUGGUGGACUACUUGGCCUGAUUGCCACACCCAAGAAACAGCAAGGGCUUUCAGUUACCAAUAUAAUUAUUAACUACAUACAUAUGUUUAAUGUUUAAAGUUGCAAGAUCAAGCACGAAAAGGUUGCUGACACGAUGCUGAACGUGAUGUGUCUUGAUAUGUCAUAAAGUUGAGCGAGUGAAAGGAGAUGACCAAGGAAGAACUCUUUGUGAGACUUGAAACGCAGACUAAUUGUAUGGCGGUUGAAAGCGAAUAGUGUCACUUAUGCUGGGGUACAUAUGAAGACUCUUUAGCACAAGGCAUUUCUUUGGAGUAGGACAAGAGCAAGUGAUGUGAUUAGCCAACUGGAAACUACAAACCUACUUCAACUGUUUCCUCCAAACUGGGACCAGUCGGCACUGCCUGACAUAGGGCACACGGCACAGAAUUGGUGUAUGCUGCUCUCCCUCAGAACAAAUCACAGGAGUUGCCUGGGCAUGAUGCCAGAUAUACAAGGGCUGCAUGUUGCAAAUGCACUUCCUAGCCCCUUUGCCAGCAUGAGUCUGACCUGGUGGAUUUCAUAGCAGUUGUGAUUUUUAACAUCUUGUUUAUAUAAAUGAA